rnacentral:rRNA from 1 species
UAAAGGAAGCGAUUCCGGCUACGGAUGGUCAUGCGUCGCAUUAGCUAGUUGGCGGGGUAACGGCCCACCAAGGCGACGAUGCGUAGGGGUUCUGAGAGGAAGGUCCCCCACACUGGUACUGAGACACGGACCAGACUCCUACGGGAGGCAGCAGUGAGGAAUAUUGGUCAAUGGCCGCAGGGCUGAACCAGCCAAGUCGCGUGAGGGAUGACGGUCCUAUGGAUUGUAAACCUCUUUUGUCAGGGAGCAAAGGGCGCCACGUGUGGCGCUUUGCGAGUACCUGAAGAAAAAGCAUCGGCUAACUCCGUGCCAGCAGCCGCGGUAAUACGGAGGAUGCGAGCGUUAUCCGGAUUUAUUGGGUUUAAAGGGUGCGCAGGCGGAAUGUCAAGUCAGCGGUAAAAUUUCGGGGCUCAACCCCGUCGUGCCGUUGAAACUGGCGUUCUUGAGUGAGCGAGAAGUAUGCGGAAUGCGUGGUGUAGCGGUGAAAUGCAUAGAUAUCACGCAGAACUCCGAUUGCGAAGGCAGCAUACCGGCGCUCAACUGACGCUCAUGCACGAAGGCGUGGGUAUCGAACAGGAUUAGAUACCCUGGUAGUCCACGCAGUAAACGAUGAAUACUAACUGUCCGGGCAGAAUGAUGCCUGG